rnacentral:lncRNA from 1 species
GGAGAGGAGAGGAGAGGAGAGGAAAUUAAAUGAGAGGAAAUUGCAGACAGAGUGGCUUAAUAACAGUUAGUGGAUUUUUUUCUUUCUCUCCUUCUUUUCUUUCCUUUUCUUUAGAACCAAAAUGGGUACUGAACCGUCAAAUGCCAUGGCGGAGAUCUCUCACCUUUACCUUGUCGCUGACGUAGCCUCGGCCACAGCCACACAACACAGCUAAUCAACCUUACCGUUUACCGGACACCGGCUUCCCAAACCCACUGCAGUCACUCGCUCCACUAAAGUCUCGCUGCAUGGAGAGAACAAAUCAAAAAGCCCCUUGAAUUGAAUUGAGAGAGAGAGAGGGUGGAGAAAAGGAGAGAGAGGGGGAUAGGUGGAGAGAGAGG